UCAGGGUAAAAUAGUGAGUAGCCGACCUGGAGAAGUGAUCAACCCUUGGGAUAAGUUUAAAUCUUCUUUUUUUUAACUCCAUAAACUUUUUAUCUUGGGUAAAAAGAUUUUUCUUGGGGUAUAAAAAAAACCAUAUUUAAAUUUAGCCCAAGAGUUGAUGAUGUAUUUUCCCCAGGAAGACUGCUCACUAUUUUACCCCAC
rnacentral:pre_miRNA from 1 species